rnacentral:SRP_RNA from 1 species
GCCGGGCGCGGUGGCACAUGCCUGUAGUCCUAGCUACUCUGGAGGCUGAGAUGGGAGGAUCACUUGAGUUCAGGAGUUCUGGGCUGCAGUGCACUAUGCCGAUCGGGUGUCCACACUAAGUUUGGCAUCAAUAUGGUGACCUCCCAGGAGCGGGGGACCACCGGGUUGCCUAAGUAGGGGUGAACAGGCCCAGGUUGGAAAUAGAGCAGGUCAAAACUCCCGUGCUGAUCAGUAGCGGGAUUGCACCUGUGAAUAGCCACUGCACUCCAGCCUGGGCAACAUAGCAAGACCCCAUCUCU